CUGACAUCACAUUUUGAUUGACUUAUUACCUUUUUAGAGUCAGGGUCUUGCUGUGUCACCCAGGCUAGCGUGCAGUGGCAUCAUCAUAGCUCACUAUAGCAUUGAACUCCUGGGCUCAAGUGAUCUUCCUGCUUCAGCCUUCGGAGUAGUUGGGACUACAGGUGUGUGCCAAUACACCCAGCUAAGUUUUCUACUUUUUUGUAAAGACAGUGCCUCAUGUUGUCCAGGCUGGUCUUGAACUCCUGGGCUCAAGCAAUCCUCCCACCUCACAAAGCUGUAACCUCAGCCUCCCAAAGUGCUGGGAUGACAGGUGUGAGCCGUCGCACCUGGCCUCGAUUGACUUAUUUAAUUGGCACACAUUUUUUACCUCUGAGAAGCCUCUAAGUUGGGCUUGAGAAAGCCAGGUCUCAGCCACCAGGUUUGCUGGCUACAUGUGCUUUGGCCAGUAGGCCAAAGGUUGAGCGGGGAGAAGCACACAGCUGCUCUGAAUUUGUGGUGCCCAAAAAAGCAGAGAGAGAAAAGUACAAACAUUCACUAGCCCUUGUUGAUUUAGUUGGUUGGCUUUGUAAGACUGCAGGGUGUAGAAGUCAGCUUUUCUUUCUGGCUCCUGACUGACUCAUUUGCCAAAGCAAGAUGGAAUUGCCACCUGCUAGGCAUGAAGGUACUGUGUGAAUCGUUGGAGUGGCUGAGCUUCUGUAGAUUACAUUUUGCUGUUGUGUUGCUCAAAGGUACUUUGCUUUCGGAAAUCUCCUAUCAUUGCUGUUCUUAAUUUUCAAUGUUAUCGCUGCCGUUUCAAAAGGGAGGGAGAAACACAUUUUCUUUUUCAUUAGUUUGAAUGUUACUCCUUGAAGUUUGUUCCUAGGGAGCACUCCUAGGAUGCCCUGAAGUUUCUGAUUUAUCACCUAAUGAAAAUCAGCGGUUUUGGAGCCAGUUCAUGACUGAUCGAGAAGUUGAGCAUUUUCUCCGGGAGGUAGAAGAGAUUUGUAGGCAGAAGAGUUUGCUGGACACCAACAUGGGAGUGAAUGAGCCUUGUGUUGAAACCACCACCUUCCUGUUGAAUUUGACCCCCAGUGUUGCAGGUGGAGCCUGGUGGAAGGGCUCCUGGGAGUGGAAAUGGCUCCCUCAUGAAUGGCUUGAUGCCGUCCUACAGAAAUGAAU
rnacentral:lncRNA from 10 species